rnacentral:rRNA from 1 species
GACGAACGCUGGCGGCGUGCUUAACACAUGCAAGUCGAACGGGCCCGCUCUCUUUUUUGGGGGUGGGUUGAGUGGCGAACGGGUGAGUAUCACGUGAGUAACCUGCCCCCUGCUCCUGGAUAACUGCUUGAAAGGGCGGCUAAUACGGGGUGUGCCGGCUGGUCCGCAUGGGCCUGGUCGGGAUAGUUUCAUCUUCGGGUGUUUCGGUGGGGGAUGGGCUCGCGGCCUAUCAGCUUGUUGGUGGGGUGAUGGCCCACCAAGGCGGUGACGGGUAGCCGGCCUGAGAGGGUGGGCGGCCACACUGGGACUGAGACACGGCCCAGACUCCUGCGGGAGGCAGCAGUGGGGGGUAUUGCGCAAUGGGCGGAAGCCUGAUGCAGCGACGUCGCGUGAGGGAUGGAGGCCUUCGGGUGGUGAACCUCUUUCUCCGGUGGUGAAGGCCCUGUCCGUUGCGGCGGGGUUGACGGUAGCCGGGGAUGAAGCGCCGGCUAACUACGUG